AUGUUGUUGGUUUUGUUGAAAAUUAGAUUUUGAUUUGAAUUUGGUAAGAGCCAGGUUAGCUUGAGCAUCUGAAACUCUGGUUUGCUGGAUUUUAAACCUAUGUUGGUCUUCUAUCCUGAUUGAAUUGAGAAGUUGAGUUAGGAUUAGCUCUCCUUGCUUAUGGAACUGACCUUUAGCAAAGUCAUCCCAAGAAGGAGGCAAUUUAUUAAUAAGGCUUGAGACCUUAAAUUCUUCAGAGAGAGAGGUUCCAUUGGUUUAAAGCUUCCUAAGAUAUUCUUGAAAUUGGUGGAGUUGGUCAUUUAUAGAUUUAUCAUCUACCAUAACAUAUCUAAGAAAUAAUGCAAUGUUGAACCACUCAACACCAGUAUCAUCCAGGCCAUACUCAGACUUUAGAUUAUCCCAUAAUUUUUUUGCACUCUUUACAGAUAAAUAAACAUCAUAGAGUGAAUCAGAAAGGGCACUUAGAAUUCUAUCCUUACAAAGAUAGUCUUCUUCAGAGGUGGCAGGAGAGGUUGAACUAGAGGA
rnacentral:lncRNA from 1 species